ensembl:lncRNA novel transcript
CGCCGCGCUCCGCUGGCUGGGCCGUGCUGGCCCCUGGCGCUAGGCAGCUGACUCCAUCCAGAUGUGCCGCGGCUCCAGAGUGGCUGCCGCGCGCAGUAAAUGGGCAUCGGAGGCUCGUCAAUCCGGGCCAGAGCAAUUGCGGUCUCGGGGCCGCCCCACUGGCACUCGGAAAGAGUCAAGAGUCCAAGAACUUGUAACAUCACAAUCUGAAAUGGAUCUGGCUGAGCCUCCCAGUCCUUCUUGAGUAACUUUAUUGACCCCUUUCAGGACUUAAGUGAAGAGAUAACGGUGGUGUACGCAAUGUCUUUGAAGUCUGUUCGUGGAAAAGCUGUCAUCAGAGACUAACUGGAAAAUCCUCAUGAACUGGGUCCCUGACCUACCGAUUUGCAUUGCCCACAGGCUGGGCAUGUUUUACCAGAGGCAGGUCUACAGCAGGUUGAGAGCAUUUUCUGCCAAGAAAACUCAUGUCCUGACUGAUAUACGGUACCCUGAGUGAGCGAGGUCUCGCUCUGUCACCCAGGCAGAAGAGCAGUGGUACGAUCUUGGUUCAUUACAGCCUUGACCUCCUGAGCUCAAGUGAUCCUUCCACCUCAGCCUCCGGAGUAGCUGGGACCGCAGGAAUGCAAUACCAUGUCUGGCUAAUUUUUGUACUUUUGGUAGAGGCGGGGUCUUGCUACCUUACCAGGGCUGGUCUCAAACUCCCGGGCUCAAGCGAUCCUCCUUGCCUUGGCCUCCCAAAGUACUGAGAUUACAGGCAUGAGCCGCUGCACAGAGCCCCACUAACUAUUUUUUGAAUAAAUCUGAGUUCCUGAAAGAUUGAAUACAAUCUGUUUAGAGGAAGAAGCUGUAAAACUGUAAUAAGAUGAAAGAAGAAGAAAGGAAGAAAAGGAGGAGCGAAAGGAGGAGGGGAAGAAACUGAUUCAUGCAGGUUAAAUAAUAUCAUAAUUAUUCCACUGUAAUUUUUUUGCACUUUAAAGUACUCACCUGUCUAUUCUGUACUGGAGUUCUGACCUUGUUUCUGGUCUACCACACCACUGCAUUUUCAAACCAAGAAUUCACUGAGAGCGAAUAGGAAGGCUCGUGCACCAGAGAGACUAUUCUCAUUUAUUUCUUAAUUAUUUAUCAACAAAACUUCAUUGGCACACUUAUUGAGAGAGUUUCAAAUCAGCGUGCUGGGCGCUGGGAAGCGCACUGGGUGCUGAGACACGGGAAGCCACAGCUUCUCUGGAGAAGCUCGCAUUCUGAAAGGAAGCGUUGGGAGAGGACAUGGAUGAAAACAUACAAGACAAAACAGUGAGCAUUGUGAUAAGAGAUAAUACAGUGUCACAGCAGCAAGAAGAAGGAAUUCACGACUCUCAAGAGGUCGAGAUCAUCCUUGAACCACCACUGACCUCAAGGCAAGGCACAAGGCGAAGAGCCCCCGAGUGGCACAGGGAGAUUGAGGGUCUCAUCCCCACUCAUAGGAAUUCAGCCCAUCAGUGGUCUAGACUGAGACAAGAAAUUAAGUAAAUUUGACUCCUAUGCCACUUC